AAUAUCCUGGAAUGUACGAGAGCCUGUCAUAUUUUGAUCCUACAUUAUUUCGAAGGGACUCCUAUAUUGUCAUGCCAAUGUCAGGCCUCCUUUGUCAGUGGAAGGCAGCGGUAUGAUUGCGGUAACCCACCUAGCAUUGCUAGGAGUCGGAAAAGAUGGGAACGGCAUUGCUGGGAUAUAU
rnacentral:other from 1 species